GAGGAGAAGGGUUAGGCCUGUUCUGAGCAGAACAAGUUGGGCCCUCUGGGGAGCCGGGCAGCCUGGCCAGACUCUGGACUGGCACCUGCAGAGAAGAGGGAGAGUUGGGGUUGAGGUGGGCCUCGGGAGAGGGGGAGGAGGGAGGAUGUCCGGGAGGCUUCCUACCCGGCAGGAAUUUGCACUGCUGAGUCCUCUCUCCCAAAACACAAACAAUGGAAGGGUUCUGGUGGAGCCCCGGAACCCCCACUCUCUGGGCAGCGCCUCCAAGGCUCCCCUUUCUCCUGGCAGGCUGAGCACUGGGAUUCCUCACUGGACUCUUUUGCUGUCCGUAAGCCCGGGUGAUGCGUUCUCUGGAGGCCUUCAAGGUGCAGGAGGCCCAGCUAAGUGAAUUUUCCCUGGAGGCUCCAAGAGGCAAAACUCUGGAUCCGAGGUUGUUUUCUCCCAGCAACAGGGAACUACUGCCCCCUAGAGGAUAAAAAGGUAAGUGGUGGUUCAGGGAAGCUGGGACAGCUGUGUAUUUUUCUGAAUUUAUGUGCUGUUUCUUCUCCUUGGGGGGAGAAGAAUGCUGCUGCUUAAUCUUUAGAUUGUUCAAUAAUUUAAUAACUUCUUCUGUUGUUUGAGUGAGAGGUUAGCAUCCCUUGUAAAAGCCCAGCUCUGCUGUGUUUCAAGUGGUAUGAAUUGAGGGGUUGGGAGUGGGGAACCCCAAUAGGUAUUUCAGCCGGCUGGUUUCCAGAGGAUUGGUCUGGGGAAACCACAGAUAAUGCAGGAAUGAGUUAAUUAAUUAGACCUCUUCUGUAGAUUUGUAGAAAACACUUCUGUAAUGUCUCUCAAUCUCAUUGGAUUUCCUAUUUGUACUUCAGGGGUUUCAGGAGAUCUCUAUGUAAGUUGUAGGUUUAUAUGAAAGGAUUCAGUGUCUCCCUGGGUGGGGGUGGAGGAUUAAGAACUUCAAGCCAGGAGUUCCCAUCAUGACUCAGCAGUUAAUGAACCCGACUAGCAUCCAUGAGGACGCAGGUUCUAUCCCUGGCCUCACUCAGGGGGUUAAGGAUCUAGCGUUGCCUUAAGCUAUGGUGUAGUCGCAGAUGUGGCUCAGAUCCUACAUUGCUGUGGCUGUGGUGUAGGCCAGCGGCUACAGCUCUGAUUUGACCUCUAGCCUGGGAACCUCCAUAAUGCACAGGUGCGGCCCGAAAAAGACCAAAAAACCCCAAGUUCAAGCCACACUUUCAGUACUAUAAAUGUGCUAGCCCUUUAUGAAGAGCCCUCUAGGCUGAGAGAAAAAUAAAAGAAAACCUUCCAAAUUGCAAAACACCAUGUAAACAAAGAGGCUUGCGCUGUAAGCUGCACUCUGUAAUUUAUGUUAAUACAUUUAAAUAAUUAGUCUGCAAAAGAAUGAAUCUUGUAAUAGUUUUCAACUUGGAAAAAUGACUUGCAAGUGAAAAAAAAAUGGAACUAUUCCAUUGAGCAUGAAGACCUUUGUGUAAAAGGUAAAUUUUGUAUUUUUAAAAUAAUAAAACAGAAUAUGUGUAAAUAACCUUGGAAAAUAAACUAGGUUGUUAAGACAAAUUUAAACAACGAUUCCCCUUUUCAAGUCUAAGCCCGUUCUUCAAAGUGUUCUUGGACUGGAAAUGGGAAAAAUCGAUGGUUUAAUAGCUUCAAGGUUCCUGCUGAUUUAACAAAAUAAAUAUGCAGAUCCGGCCGGCUGAUAUGUAAAUUUACACCAGGCCAAAAACUGGGUCACAAAGGUUUUAAGAAAUGCUUCAGUACUAAAACUCCUAAUAAGAUUCAAAGAAUUCUACUACUCUGUGGAAUAAAUACAAGGAGGCCUUGAUCCCUCUGCCAAGUGGCUGGUCCACAGCCACAGCCCUGCUCCUCCCAGGUCUGGGAAUGACGGGGCUUCCUUUUGCUGCUUUCACAUAAGACACCCCGCCCAGCUUACAUUUUACUGAAGACGGAGAUUCAGCGUAGUCUUCAUUUGAAUUCUCCUGUUGGGAACCCCCAAGCUCCUCCCUCUCCUCUCCAGAGUUCUCUUUUUUCCAAAGUAACGGGUCCCUUGGUUAAUUAUCUGGAGCGUAUGACCAGUAAGUGACAGUGUGUACACAGACUACUGACCAUGCACUUCAGUUUCUUAGUUUUAGUCUCUUUAAAGGUAUUUUCCCCUUUAAUCAUGUUGAUGACCCACUUUUUCCCAAAGUAAGGGAAACAAGCCCAGGCCAGUCUGACGAUGCACUGGGUGCUCAUCACGCCCCCUGGUGGCCGCACUUGUCUAUGGUUUGAGUGGGUCGAGACAGGCUUAAUGUUUUGUUUGUUUUUUAGGGCCACACACUCCGCAUAUGGAAGUUCCCAGGCUAAGGGUCCAAAUAGGAGCUGGAGCUCCAGCUGCCGGGUCCACAGCAACUGCGGAUCCAAGCCGCAUCUAUGACCUACACCACAGCUCACAGCAAGGCCACUGAGCGACACCUGCAUCUUCAUGGACACGAUAAAGUCCGACUCUUUUCCAUUGAGCUACAAGGAAACAGUCCCUAAUUUUUUUUUUAAAUUUUAUUGGAAUAUAGUUGACGUACAAAGUUGUGUUAAUUUCAGGUGUAAAUAAAAAAUUAAUUAGUACAUCAGUUAUGUAUACACUUAUAUCCAUUCCUUUUCCGAUUCAUUUCCUGUACGGUUGCCAUACAGUACUGAGUAAAUUUCCCUGUUACCGGGUCUAUUCUAUAUAUGGUAGUGGGUAUGUAUCUCUCCCAACCCCCUAAUUUCUCCCUCUCCCCCCACAUUUCCCCUUUGGUAAAUAUAAAUUUGGUUUUGAAAUCUUUGAGUCUGUUUCUGUUCUGUGAAUAAGUUCUUUCGUAUCAUUUCUUACCAGAUUCCACAUAUUAGGGAUCUCAUAUGAUAUUCGUCUUUCUGACUUCGCUUGCUCUAAUAAUUUCUGGGUUCAUCCAUGUUGCUGCAAAUGGCAUUAUUUCCGGCUUUUUAUGGCUGAGUAAUAUUCUGUUAUGUAUCUUUAUCACGUCUUCUUUAUCCAUUCCUGUUGAUGGACAUUUUGGUAGCUUUCCUGUCUUGGCUAUUGUAAUGGUGGGCAAUGAACAUUGGGGUGCAUGUAUCUUUUCGAAUUAUGGUUUUCUCUAGAUUCAUGCCCAAGAGUGAGAUUGCUGGAUCAUACGGUGGUUCUGAAACAGCAACACCUCUGACUCCAACCCAGCCUAAACCCAGAUUGGGACUUGAGCCCACAUUUUUUUUUUUUAAUUAGAAUCACACCCCUGGUAUCAGGACUUACAGAGGCUCAGGUUCUCUGUGUCUCGGCACAGAAGAAACUUGGCGAGACAAAGUGAUAGGCAAGAAAUAGAUUUAUUAAGAAAGGAUGCUUGUGAGGGAUCCAAGCAGGCAGGCAAGGAGGCUGUGCCCUGAGGAUUAGGUGGGCUGCAGUUUUAUAAUCCAAGGGGAGUGGGGUGGGAAAGACCGCCUUCCUCAUUCUUCAGCCAGAUGUCAGGCUUACUUACCUCUUUAGCUCCUCCUUCGUACUGGGUAAGAGAGUAUUUGACCCUGUGAAGUCAAACUAGGACUGUCAGGAUGCUUAUUCAAAUCAGCAGGAGGGUGGUAACAUACAUUUAAGAUACGUUGCCUCAUCUCAGGUUUUCCGUAUCAUUAAGGUCUUUUUUUGUUUGUUGGGUUGGUUGGGGUUUUUUUUUGCUCUCUCGGGGCCGCACCCACUUUAGAAGUUCCCAGGCUAGGGGUUGAGCUACAGCUGCUGAUCUGCACCACGGCCGCAGCAACGUGGGGUCCGAGCUGCGCCAGAGCAACGCCAGAUCCUUCACCCGCUGAACGAGGUCAGGGAUGGAGUCUGUGUCCUCCUCUGUGUCCUUCGCUUCCGCUGAGCCACAAGGGGCCCUCCCAGUCCUUGGUUUGAAGGUGAUUAGCUUGCUGAACUUGAAUGCAGGCCUCAUUUUAUCUUUCAUUUCAUGACCUGAGGCAUAUCUCGGGCUUUUACUGAUGGUCUUACAGUUCAGCAAGCCCGCUUGGUUCUGAUGCCUUUCUUGAGAGAGUAUGAAUUUACAGUGUCACCGGUCUGGUCACUGCAUAGCGGUGUGUAUGUAUCUACCCCAAGCCCCUAACUGACCCCUUUCCCUGCUUCUACCCGCUCCUGCACACAGACGCUUCAGCCAGCAUCUCCUGCAUGUUUCUCAUUUUAUCAUUUUCUAAGGAAAUACCUGGAACAAUUCAGCCAUUUGAAUUCUGAGAGAAAAAUGUUAUUUUUCUCCCGAGUGGGUAUCUGGCAUGUUCAUUAGCUCAGCUUCCCCCACAGCACAGGCCAAGGCUGGGUUUCCCAAGACGAACGUGGGGGACCAACCACUGAUUCUGUCUUACCCUCACCCUUGGGGCGUGUCCUCUGUUGGUUUUGUUUGACUGAGAAUCGUGCCAGACAUCAAAAUCCUGGACUCUUGAGUGGGAGGGGACCCUGCGAGUCCUCGCGGUUAAAAGAAAGAACGUGCUUGGGGUAGGAAUGUGCAUUUUGUAUGAUCCUGCUCUCUUGAGGAAUUAAUCUUUGAGCGAGUGUAACCGAGGCCCUCACGGCCAGGAUGGGGCUGGAUGGAACAGAUUCGACGUUGAAGUCAGCUGCUGUUUGUGAUUUGGAAGUUGGGGGCGGGGGCGGGAGAAGAAGGGCCAGCCGUCCAGUCUUGCCUGUGUGCAUCCUUUAUCUGAUGGACGGACAGCUGCCUUUUUCGUCCCCGAGGUAUUUUAUAACAAUGCGCCUUUAUCAACUCGGAGUUUUACAGGCGAAGUUCGCCAACAGACAGACGUAAAAUGGAAAAGUAAAUAAACAGCAG
rnacentral:lncRNA from 1 species